GGAGGGUUGGGUUAUUGGGAUAUGAGGGUCGGAGGGUUGGCAGGGUUGGAGGGUUUUGGGGUUUAGGGAAAAGAGUUUGAGAGUUUGGCGGGUAGGGAGGGUUGGGGUAUUGGGGAUUGGAUUUUUUCCAUCAUAAUGCAUGUGUUGUGUUGUUGCUGCUGCACACACCCUGCAGCCCACAUAACAACCCUGGCUGCUGGUGCCCACUCCUAACCCUCUACACUCCUUAUUAACCAGCUUCUCUGUUAUAAACCCUUAUACCCAAGGUGUGGAAAGCAAACCCAGUAGGUUGGUCCAGGCCUUCUAUUCUCAAAACUCAGCUGUCAUCCCGGCACUGUUCUCCCAUCUUUUCAGGAAGGGCACACCAUACAUGCCCUGUUGCAGCAGCAGCAUGCCAGGGGGUUGGCCAUGGCAACCUAGGGGAGGGUGUAAAGCUUGGGGGACAUAUCAGGAAAACACUACACAUGACACCUGGCAGGUACAGGCACGUGACCACAUGUAUCAGACAUUACGAGGUUAAAUGCACACUUGGCCAUGAAUGGACAGAAAGACUAUAUUCCCCAAACACCUUCGAUGGAGACCCGGCAAGGAAUUAACCACAAAACACUGCUGUGGAAAUGUGCAGGAAUGCAUCAAAUGCUCAGGCAAACCCGGAUACGUACUUUUUAGUUAUUUCAGGAUGCAAUCUCCACAGUCGUGACAUGUGUGCAUGUUCAACCCCCACCCAUCACUCUUGGUGGAUUAUCGGGUUUGGUGACUUAAUUCAUUUACGAUUACCGCGACGUAAUUAUGUCGGUUAAGCUACUUUAUAAAGUAGCUUAACCGACUGGAAUGUCCUGUGCCUGAAAGACCUUAAGACGGCUAGGCACAUGUGAACGGGGCACAUGGCGUGACGUGGAUUGGUCACCCACUGCCCGCGGGUAGGCGAGGGUAUUCCGGCUGGAAUUAACGGCCGUAAGGGCCCGAGGCGCAUCCCUCCAAAGGGGGGGGAUGUAGUACACUGUACGGUACACUGUACGACACACAUAACAACUACAAAUACGCGCUAAGCGCGAUAAUUAGCAUCUCGAGAGGCCUUUUCAGUGGCCAGCUACUACAGCUGGGGUGCAGCAUACAGCACUGGGAUGUGGCCUAGCGUGCUGGGGUGCAUGCAGCCUGGGUGCCAGUAUGUAGCCUGGGUUGCCAUAACCCUUUUCAUGCCACAUGGCUACACCACCCAUUGACAUCCGGAAUAAAUGGCCAUAACAAAUGCACAACACACACUCAAUAACUGCCUACUGGCAAGGUGUCUAGGUCAGUGUAAUACAUAGAUCGCCAUAAUGCCUGCCAUAGAGCUCAAAAUCAUAUUCGUCUUGUUAUAGCCAAAGUCCUUUUCACAUACUAUAAGCCCCCUUGAUGAAUGUAAACUUCAGGUUGCAUCACAUACAGUUAUAGCCCAUCAAUCUAUAGCUAUGUGUUAGCAGUGCAACACUGGAAGCCAGACUCCUGGACCAUGACAGCAAAACCAGAUCCAGGGGUCUCCAUUAGGGCUUGAACAGAUCCAAACUCUGCCACUCGGCCCGCAUUCAUGAGGAGCACAACAUCCGAGUCCAGGAUGGUGUUGAGGCGAUGUGCAAUUGCAAGGACGGUCGAGGCCUGUACGAGUCAAGACAUAAAAGCCCAAACAUCAAUUUGGCUUAAAUAAGUCAGUUGGUCUGGAGUAGCCAUCCGUGAUAACCAAUUGGUCCACCUAGUCCUGCCUAUUUUUUAGGUUAGUUUUACCAUCAUUAAGGAUGGCACAUACAGCUGUAAUUCACAGCCGAGCGGUUGCAACACAUUCACAGGGCAGCAGUGUAGCUCCAGCUCAUCAUUCAUCCAUCACAUAUUUGGCAACGGUUAGUCCUCGGGCAAGUGAGCAAUUCGACCAAUCUAUCCCAGUCCACUAACCUGGAAGUGUGUCCUGAUGGCUCGCUGGAUGAGGGCGUCUGUCUCCGGAUCUACACUUGCUGUGGCCUCAUCAGCAACCAGUAGCCUGAGCAGUUGUAAAUUAGAAAAAUAAAUUGUCACAUAAGCAGUUUUCAUAACAUUGGAUAAGAGUACGAUUCUAAACUUGUCGGUUCGACCCACCAAUCACGUUUGGUGGAAAUCGACUAAUUACAUGAUAACCGUGUCUAAAUGUAGCUGUGGUCGAUUGGACUGUCUCUGAUGCCUGAAAGACCUUAAGACGGCUAGGCACAUGUGAACGGGGCACAUGACGUGACGUGGAUUGGUCACCCACUCCCCGAGGGUAGGCAAAGGUAGGCACAGGCUGGUGGUAUACGUGGCCGUAAGGGCCCGAGACGGAUCCCUUCAAAGGGGGGAGAAUGUAGUAGCCGGUACACUGUACGGCACACAUAACAACUACUAAUACGCGCUAAGCGCGCCCACCGG
rnacentral:lncRNA from 1 species